CCCGCAGGUGACAACAGCGGCGGCUCCUGGGCUCACGCCGCUCGCAGGGCUGGCUGUGCCAGGCGUGCACAUGUCCCUGCGCGAAACGCGGGCGUGUGUGGCUGUACCGGAGAUGUAGAUACAUAUAUGGGGCUUGAUUUAUAUCUAAUGGCACGUAUAAAGCUUUUGAAGGUGGCUGCAAUGUAAAAAGUAAUGACUUUAUUACCCCUGAAAGGUUCUGCGGUUCGCAGUUAACACUCCUCUGAAUUACAAUUCAUUACGCUCUCUAAAGCCAACCUGCAUCAGAGCACCUACCUGUGCUUAUUCCCAAUCACAGGCAUCGUUUCAUUGAUUUUCUUUUUUAAAAAUCAUAGCAAAUUAAGCACUUGGUGACAACUAAAUCUGUUUCAUUAUCGUGCCGUGUUUGAGAUUCCAGAGGUGACUUCCCAGACCGCAUCUCAAAACCUACAGUCAGGAGCUAAUUUUACAGAUGCUUUCAUGAAUGGCAGCGAGGAUGUUCUUACCAUCAGCAUGCCCUUAAUUCCAGCACCGUAAAAAUGCCUCGAUUUAAAUGGAAACUCGCUGCCUUAAAAAAAUAAUAUUUCAUCCUGGCUGGAUAAUUAUUAAUAUUAGCAUUUGAUCGCAAUAGUGCUGGCUCCCCCUCGUUCCUGUACCCCCCCACCCCCCCACCCCACAGCGCUUCGCAUUGUCAUGUGAUUGGAGGGAGAUAACAAACCUCAAGAAAGAAAAGGAGUGAGAAGACAUUUUUAACACGGCAUGACCGCAGAUUAAUAAUGCAGGUGGGUUUUUAUUUCAUUGUAUUUUUAGGGGAAGGGAACGAGGCUGUUUAACGAGCAGUCGUGGACACAAAGUGACUGUAUUUACAAUCCUUGAUGUGGCUUUCGGUGGGUAAUAAAUUAUGACAAUAUUAAAAUUAUUUUCUGGCAGCCCAGUUAACUGCGCUGGGGACUGUAAAGCCCCUACUGAUUCCUUUUAUGCCUUGUAAUUGCGGUCCACGGUCUCGCUCUAAACCUUUUGGUGUAUAUUGUGUGUAAACUUUUAGCUAAUAGACUUUUUUUUGAAUGGAAGGACUUUUCUCGGUACUUCCUGCCGUAUACAUUUUGUCUCUGAUCUCUGUAUUUAAUGGCCAAGUCCUGGUUUAUGCUUUAUAAUGUGUUGACAAGUUUUCUAACAGACUUUCUGAAAUAAUGCACAUAUAUUCACGUCGGUUAGAAACUCCACAGUAUUUUUAGAGUCGAGUAGAUCUAUAUCCUAAUGCACUGAGAGGGAGUGUAAAUCAUAGAGGAUUUCAUAGCCCUUUCAGUAGUUUUCUGUAUGAAGUAUGAGCAGCGUGGCCUCCAGACGUAACCUUUUAGAAAAAAAGACAGUGCUUUUAUUUUAUGGUGUAAAGUGCUUUUAGCUUCAGGGCUCUGAACGUGAAUGUGGUCAACAAACAGCUCUUGCGAGGGAGUUUGCUCCAGCCUCAGCCCAGCGCCGGGCGCUGUGGGGAGGGAUGCGGGGCCGCCCCCGGCCGCAGGACCGGGCUGAGCCCCCCCAGAGACACGGCAGCCCCCGCCAGUGUCCUGGGCUCCGACACCCCGCGGAAAGCGGGGGUGGGAUGGCCCCCGGCGCUGCCGGAGAGGCUGUUGAUGGCAGCGGGGUCAGCCCCGGCGCGUCCGGGGGCAGGGGGCUGAGCUGGCACCGGCGGCAGAGACAGGGCCAGAGGGCACAGCUGGGGCUGAGAGCGCCCCAGGAGAGCUGUGGAGCAAGGGCGACGCACCCCAUCACUGCCCCGCUGCACCCCACAAGCUACAUCUCCUGUGUCUCUGCUUCCACCCUCGCAGCACCUCCGUGACACACCGAGCAUCUCCAGCCCUCUCUGGAGCUCCUGCACGCUGCUGUCCCUUGCUGGGCUGUACUAACAAACCCAGUGUGUGUGGCAGGGUAUGAAUUUGGUACUUCUAGCUCUUCUGAAGCUCCACACUCAAUGGAAUAUGUAUAGAUACCCAAGGUAAAGCUACAGCUACCCUGAGGAUUUCAUGGGGCACACCUGCCACCCUGACCCACCUGCGUGCUCCUAUACACUAGAGAAGAGGCCAGGAACAAGAAAUGACACUUCAGUUAUCUCCAAAGAGGGUCCUAAAUGUGUAAGAUAAAGUGAACAUAAAUAAAUAUUUUUGCUAACAGUUUCACAG